AGCGUAGGCGGAUUGGUCAGUUGGAUGUGAAAGCCCCGGGCUUAACCUGGGAACUGCAUUCAAUACUGCCAGUCUAGAGUGCAGGAGAGGAGAGUAGAAUUUCUGGUGUAGCGGUGAAAUGCGUAGAGAUCAGAAAGAAUACCAGUGGCGAAGGCGGCUCUCUGGUCUGACACUGACGCUGAGGUUCGAAAGCGUGGGAGCAAACA
rnacentral:rRNA from 1 species